UGGGGAAUCUUGGACAAUGGGCGCAAGCCUGAUCCAGCCAUGCCGCGUGAGUGAAGAAGGCCUUCGGGUUGUAAAGCUCUUUUACCAGGGACGAUAAUGACGGUACCUGGAGAAUAAGCCCCGGCAAACUUCGUGCCAGCAGCCGCGGUAAUACGAAGGGGGCUAGCGUUGUUCGGAAUUGCUGGGCGUAAAGCGCACGUAGGCGGAUUGUUAAGUCAGUGGUGAAAUCCCGGAGCUCAACUUCGGAACUGCCUUUGAUACUGGCAAUCUAGAGUCCGGAAGAGGUUAGUGGAAUUCCCAGUGUAGAGGUGAAAUUCGUAGAUAUUGGGAAGAACACCAGUGGCGAAGGCGGCUAACUGGUCCGGUACUGACGCUGAGGUGCGAAAGCGUGGGGAGCAAACAGGAUUAGAUACCCUAGUAGUCCCUGAGCGGGCUGGCAAGGCGCAU
rnacentral:rRNA from 1 species